rnacentral:lncRNA from 1 species
ACUUUGCCUACAAAAAGGAGAGUCUACUUUUGCAGAAAAACGAACACCUUCUCUGACUAGGUCUAACAGCGAUACGUACCUUCUCUGUAAAGUGCCAGAAGGAUAACGAUUGGAAUUCUUGGUGUGUUUUUUAUUGUCAGUCUACUGACCUCUUCCAGGGACCUCUCUGUCAGUCUCCAGAAGGAUGGGGAUGAGGAAGCUUCUGAAGAACCUGAAGAGCAGGGGCUUCUGCGGUCAUUGUUUGCACGAGUGCCUGACUGACAUCUGGGCUACGCAGGAGCGUGACUGCUUCUGCAGUUCAUGGGCAUACAUGAACAGUCCUGAUCGACUCAGCCUGGGCUGGAGCUCGCUCCCCAGAACGUGAUGGGCUGCCUUUCCGUCGGGGAACGCCGGCCUGACACCUGCCUCGCUGGCAGCUCCCUCCUUCGGGAAGGCGCUUUUUGGGCCCGAGGUGCGAUUCCGGCUGCGGGGACGUUAGGCCCUCUCUCGCCCCCGGCCUACGCCGGAUUUCUACUUCGGGGGAGCUCCCGAGCGCCGUGGGCCCCCCCCCCCCCGCCCCAGGCUCCGGACGCUUCGUGCCGCCCCAGCUCUUAGCCGGAGGGCGAAGGCCCCUCGGCCUCAGCGACCGCCCGGCCGGCGUCGCCGGGCCCGCCCCGAGCGGGUCCCACACCGCCCCGCCGGGGCUAGGGCGCGCUCGGCGCCCUGACAGACGGCCCCCCGCUCCCCCGCCGGUGGCCGCGGGGGCGGCUGGCGGUGUCGCCGGAGCCCCUCCGCGGGCGCUGCCGCCGCCUCCCCUCGCCGCCGCCGCUCCGCCGCGGCGUUGCCAUGGCGGCCGGUCGCGCGGCGCUGCGGCGGCAGGUGGGGCGGGGCCUGCCGCAGACCCCGGCCCGGCAGCGCAGGCCUCCGCCGCGGGGAGGCGGCGGGGCGGGCGCCCGCCCUCAGCGUCGGCGCGCAGGAGGCCGGCGGGGCCGGUGCUGGAGCCGCCGCGGCGGCGGGAAUAUGGAUGCGCCGUGCUCGUCCCUCGCCGCUCGGCAUCCUCUCCUGGCCGCGGCACGGUUUCGUGGAUGUGAUAGGAAUGUCAGAGUGACUGUGUGAACAUGAACAUGGCACCAGCUCAAUCCCUGCUCAAUGCUGGGACACGUGGACACAGAAAUUUCUAAGGAGCUUAUUAAAUCCACGUUUAUUGUGCGGGUACACAGAAUACCCCUUUAUCCAAGGCUGUCAGUGCCAAUAACCAAGACAAAUGCUAAAAAACC